AAUUUAGGAAGGUGAAGACAAUCCUUGGGAAUUCCCAUAUGAACUUGAUGCUUUAUUGAAAAAGGAAUUAGCUAUUAGAGCUGUUUUUCAGCCAAAGUUUGGAAGACUCUCAGUUAUUGGGUUCAAAGACGAUGCAGAAACACGUAAGAAAAUACGGGACAAUUUCAAAUCUGAAGAGGUAGCAUCGAAGCUUGGCGUAUCAGAGCCUUCCUCGCAAGAGGAUUUGAGGAGUUUUUCUGAACCAUUGUCCGCAUCUGCAGAUUAUGAUCCUUCUGUUGCGAAUUCAGGGCUGACACCGUCGAAGAGAAGAAUAACCGACGUAGCUGAAGAAGUUGAAAGUGUUCAACUUUCCUCAACAAAGAUGACAAAACCAAUCAAGAAGGAAAAAUCGAUAUAAAGAUGGAACACAAACGGCUGUUUGUUAAGCUUUAGUUUAUCAU